rnacentral:rRNA from 1 species
UCAGGCCUAACACAUGCAAGUCGAGCGCCCCGCAAGGGGAGCGGCAGACGGGUGAGUAACGCGUGGGAAUCUACCCAUCCCUACGGAAUAACGCAUGGAAACGUGUGCUAAUACCGUAUACGCCCUUUGGGGGAAAGAUUUAUCGGGGAUGGAUGAGCCCGCGUUGGAUUAGCUAGUUGGUGGGGUAAAGGCCUACCAAGGCGACGAUCCAUAGCUGGUCUGAGAGGAUGAUCAGCCACAUUGGGACUGAGACACGGCCCAAACUCCUACGGGAGGCAGCAGUGGGGAAUAUUGGACAAGGGGCGCAAGCCUGAUCCAGCCAUGCCGCGUGAGUAUAAGGGCCCUAGGGUUGUAAAGCUCUUCACCGGUGAAGAUAAUGA